rnacentral:rRNA from 1 species
AUGGGGGGAACCCUGAUCCAGCCAUGCCGCGUGUGUGAAGAAGGCCUUUUGGUUGUAAAGCACUUUAAGCGAGGAGGAGGCUACUCUAGUUAAUACCUAGAGAUAGUGGACGUUACUCGCAGAAUAAGCACCGGCUAACUCUGUGCCAGCAGCCGCGGUAAUACAGAGGGUGCAAGCGUUAAUCGGAUUUACUGGGCGUAAAGCGCGCGUAGGUGGCCAAUUAAGUCAAAUGUGAAAUCCCCGAGCUUAACUUGGGAAUUGCAUUCGAUACUGGUUGGCUAGAGUAUGGGAGAGGAUGGUAGAAUUCCAGGUGUAGCGGUGAAAUGCGUAGAGAUCUGGAGGAAUACCGAUGGCGAAGGCAGCCAUCUGGCCUAAUACUGACACUGAGGUGCGAAAGCAUGGGGAGCAAACAGGAUUAGAUACCCUGGUAGUCCAUGCCGUAAACGAUGUCUACUAGCCGUUGGGGCCUUUGAGGCUUUAGUGGCGCAGCUAACGCGAUAAGUAGACCGCCUGGGGAGUACGGUCGCAAGACUA